GACGAACGCUGGCGGCGUGCUUAACACAUGCAAGUCGAACGGAAAGGCCCCUUCGGGGGUACUCGAGUGGCGAACGGGUGAGUAACACGUGAGUAACCUGCCCUUGACUUCGGGAUAACUUCAGGAAACUGGGGCUAAUACCGGAUAGGAAUCCUUGCUGCAUGGUGGGGGUUGGAAAGCUUCGGCGGUUUUGGAUGGACUCGCGGCUUAUCAGCUUGUUGGUGGGGUAGUGGCUUACCAAGGCUUUGACGGGUAGCCGGCCUGAGAGGGCGACCGGCCACAUUGGGACUGAGAUACGGCCCAGACUCCUACGGGAGGCAGCAGUGGGGAAUAUUGCACAAUGGGCGGAAGCCUGAUGCAGCAACGCCGCGUGCGGGAUGACGGCCUUCGGGUUGUAAACCGCUUUCAGCAGGGGCGAAGCUUGUGGUGACGGUACCUGCAGAAGAAGCACCGGCUAACUACGUG
rnacentral:rRNA from 1 species